GCCCAGGUGGUGAAAUUGGUAGACACGCUACUUUGAGGUGGUAGUGCCUUAACGGGCUUGCUGGUUCGAAUCCAGUCUUGGGCA
rnacentral:tRNA from 1 species